GGAUCAAAUUGUCGGUCGUGCCUCGGUACGUACUGGCGUUAUUGGUUCCUCCCUUCUGAAGAACCGCGAUGUCAUUAAUUUGGUGUCGCGGGGAAUCAGGACUGUUACUUUGAAAAAAUUAGAGUGUUUAAAGCAGGCAUUUUUGCUCGAAUACAUUAGCAUGGAAUAAUAGAAUAGGACGGCAUGGUUCUAUUUUGUUGGUUUCUAGGAUCACCGUAAUGAUUAAUAGGGAUAGUUGGG
rnacentral:rRNA from 1 species